ensembl:lncRNA
UGAGGAGGCAGUAGUACAGAAAAACUGGGAAGGUUUAAUUGAAAAAGUCAAAGGACGCCUAGAGAAGUGGAAGUAUUUUUCUCCAAAAUUGUCAUAUAGAGGAUGCAUUCUAAUUGUUAACAACUUGGUGGCGUCUUCCUUAUGGCAUAGGUUUGCCUGUGUAGAUCCUCCUUUGCAAUUACUUUUAAAAAUUCAGACUCUCAUGGUGAACUUUUUUUGGGAUAGGUUACAUUGGGUUUCACAAAAUGUAUUGUUUUUGCCUAAGGAGGAGGGUGGCCAAGGACUAAUGCAUCUUCAUAGCAGAAUUGCAGCCUUUCGGUUGCAAUUUGUGCAAAGACUGCUGGAUGGACCUUCAGACUGUAACUGGCGCGCUGUUUCAUGCCUGAUUUUAUGGAGUUUUGCAGGUUUGGGACUGGACAAAGCACUUUUCCUAAUGGAUCCCCUAAAACUGGACACCUCUAAGUUGCCAUUUUUUUAUAGGAAUACUUUUAAAGUUUGGAGUCUCUUUGUUGUUCAACAUCCAGAAAACUCACCUUCUCUUUUCUGGUUACUGGAGGAGCCUUUAAUCUAUGGUGCUCGGUUGUAUUUAAUGGACAGUUCCUUUUUUCCUGGACUCAGUAGGGUGUUGGUGGGACAUGACGUUAUCACUCUGAUUCAGCUACUGAGCAUUGUAGGGCCGGAUUUCAAGGAUGAAGUAGCUGUAGCUCAACACUUGGGAAUCAGGUCUAUUCGUCUGGUUACCCAGUUGCUCAUGAAAUGGAAAGCUGCUCUUGAAACAACUGAAAUGGAAUUGUUAACAGAAUAUUGGGAAGGUUCUUGUGUUGCAAAUCCCAAAGACUCUUUUCCUUGUUUAUCUUUGUCUAUAAAUCUUGAAGGGAUUAUUUCCCCUUUUUUUAAAAAUUCUGCAUCUCUGUGUAAAGACUUUUUUUAAGUGCUGGUAAAUCUUUGUACAGGUCUUGUGUUUUGGUGUUUAGCAAAAAUGUCUUAAGUGCAAGAGUUGAUACUCCC